rnacentral:rRNA from 1 species
AUGCCACCCUGCCAGCCCAAACCACAAACGCCAACUAGGGCUCUGUUCACGGGAUGUGACUACGUCCCUCCCGAAACCUUUUCCUCGCCUCUGCCGGCUGCCAAUUCCUCAAACCCCGUGCGCUCCACACCCAUUGGUGGCGGCAAAGAAUCCUACGCCCGUGUCCUCUCCUCCCCCUCCUAUAGCAUGCAUACCCCUCCUCGGCUGAAAUCAUUCCAUCUCUCCAUCCCCAGAAACCCUGAUUUCAGCAUGCGCUGCCAUCGCUGCCUUGCGCGUGAUCACUUCAUGCAGGAGUGCCGAGACCCGUUUCGAUGCCGGAGAUGCUGGCAGGUGGGGCAUGCCCAGCACCAUUGCGUGGCUAUUUUACCACCCCCAAGCCUCGGCUCCUCAUCCACCCCUUCUCACAUCCCUCAAACACCCUCCGAGCCUAGCUCUCCUCCUGCUCCGCCUCCCGGUAGAUCCUCCUCUUCCAUCGCAGCCCCAAUGGCUGACUUCAUCCCGGUGCCCUUCGAGAUCUUCUCCUCCUCCUCCGAGGAUGGCGAGCUUCCUUCUCCCCCCCGCAUGGCCUCCCCACCACCACGCGUUUUCGCCUUCCCUGAGCAAGUUGAUGCCGCCGAAGAUGACGAGGAGGAAGAGGAUCCGGAGGAGAUUGAAUUUGAAUCAGGGGAGGAAUCCACUGAUUCGGAUGCAAUCCCACCCAUGUUCCCUCCUUCUCCUCCGCGACAUCGCCGAGACUACUCCAAUGUCUUCAUGCCACAUGUUCCUCUUGAGCACUUCCAGAACCUUGCCUUUGCCUUUGUCAACCCACCGUGCCCAUCUCCCCACGCUUCCAUCCGCAGAGCUCUCCAAUCCGGGGCGGGGGACCCCCAGGUGGCCAUUAGGGCUUCUUCUCAUGGAGCGGGCCUCGUCAUCUUUGGCUCGGCCUAUGAAUGAGAAAUCUCCUGCCUUUCCAGCCCUUUCAACUGCCCAGUUAACUCUGUCCAGCUGGUCCGCCGCGAGGACACUGACAACAGGUUCCUGUUUCGCCUGGGCACGGUUUCCGCCUUGAACAUCGAAGACUUUCCCAUCGAGUACUGGUUCGCCGACACUAUCACCAAUUCCGUGGUCCCCUUUGCUUGUCCCAUCCAGAUAGAUCCUAUCUGCCUCACCGGCGUUGACUACUCGGCCGUCCUCGUCUCUGUCAAGAGCAGGACCCUCACCGAUGUCCCUCACUCCAUCCCCAUCCACGGCUUCUCGGGCCUCGGUGCGAUCGCUACGGUCCUGGUGGUACGCUCGGAGGAGCUGCCACCGAACCCCGCCUUCCCUGUUGACUCCGACUCCGACACCAGCUAUGGGGGAGGCGAUGGAGGCGAUGAUGGGGGUGACGGUGGAGAUGGAGACUUCCCUGCUGAUAUGGAUGCGGCCAUGGCUCCGCCCCCUCCACCGCCCUCGGACGCGCUCUACCGCGACCGUGUGGUGGUUCUACCCGGGGGCCAGACCAUGAUGGCCAACCACAAGCCAAUGGUGGUGGCGGUCCCCCUCGACGCUCGUCUGGCCGCUGUCGACGUCAAGCUGUUCACCGGCUUCUACGACAUCCGCAUCACCGGCAGGAACGGCGAGAGGUGCUUCUACCGCAUCCCCAUGCGCCCAGCAGGCUCCCCGCGCCUCAUCGUUGCCAAUCUUGCUUCCUGCUCCAUUGGAUACCUAAACAAGGUUGGCACGGUGGGGGAGAGGCGCAAGCCCAUCACCGACGCCGACAUCUUCUGCAUGGACUGGCGCGGGCGCAGUUUCGGCAACAUCGUCUCCGGGGAGGCCCAGGUCAUGGAAGCCCUCGAGCGCUUUGACUCGGGCGCCCCCAUAGCCCCCCCUCCAGCGCCUCUGCUACUCGAGGCCCCGCCGGCCUCGCCUACUACGCCGCCGCCUUCUUCCCCCACCUUCGUCCCGGUGCUGCCUCCCAAGGGCAAAACUUCCAUCGUCUUCACUCGCCGCAACGCUCGUCUCAAGGAGAGGGAAGAACCCAGGCGCAUGUCAAUGCUCGAGAAGGCCACGCUGCUCAAGAAGUCCAAGCUGGAGGGACUCAGGCAGAAAGUUUCUUCCCCUGGGCUCCUGCCGGCGGCCGAACUCAUGGAGCUGGCGGCGAAGGAGCCGUCCCCUCUGCCUCGCCCGGACGUGCUGGAGCUGGUGGAAGCUUGCGGGGUCUCCGAGAUCGACCUGAACAAGGUGGCACCCGAGUUCUCCGAUGUGUGA